UGUUUUCACAUCACGGCUACUUUGGUGACAGUUUGUUAGCUAAAUUAUAUAGCAUGAUACAUAUCCCUGCUUGAGUGUGCGAGCAUACUUGACCAAUAAAACUGAUUCUGAAUCUGAUUCAGAAAAAUGGCAGUGAUCCGUACGGAAGCCGAAGGAAUCGACUCAUAUUGAAGAGCUAAGCCAAAGGAUUCGGUUCACUUAAAAGAGCCAGUGCUUUCCAUCAUUGAAGGAAGUGAAGUGCGCGGUGAAAAAGCAUCAUAAUGGACGCUACAGUGGCAUGUAAUAAUUGUGGCUUACCGUACACGUUGUCUGAGGGUGAGGUUGUGGGGAGGCUGCCCCAUGUGCUCUUCUGUGUGGAGUGUCUCUGCUCUCUGGAGUGUCCUCAGGACUCCAACUCUGUCCCCUCAGUCAGCUGUCCCGAGUGUAGGGUGAGCACUGUUCACAACUCCUGUCCAUGCAGCCAUCACUCCCUUACUGCGCUACAGCAUGUCAACCAGCUUUCACAACUCUUUUUAGGGAAAGUAGCUAAAGCAUGCUCAAUUUGUCACCAGAUGACACCAUAGACUAAUUUUUUCUAAUUACCUAUGAUAUGGCAAUGAAUAUUACUAACUAGUUUUAAAAAGAAAGAGAGGCAGAUAGGGUGCCGAUACUUGUAGAGUUGCAUAGAUAUAUCAUGAACAUGCACAUUUUUUAAACGUGUCUACAAAUGAAGAAGGCAGGCAAAAAGAAGUCGUGAAAGACGGUUUUUGCUAUGUGGGCCAAUCUCAGCUGAAAGCAGGUGUACUUGCGGCAGGUCCAUACUCUGUGUAGCGGUGUGUAUCUGCUUUUUCGAGUUCGUUAAGUCACAGACGGGCCACAGCUAAAAUUAAGGAGCUCAGCCGCCUGGAAAACACUUUUGACGGUUAAAUCAGUUAGGAUACUCGAGGCUGCAGUCAUUCUUCGUUUUCAAGAGGAAUCAUUUCAGCUGAAGAAGCCAUGCUGAGGGAGGUGUUAACUAAAUUAGAGAUGGUGCUGGACCAACAAACCACUGAGAUUGCUUCAACUACAGGAGGUCCAGGUGCAGCCUUUGGAUAUUGAUGAAGAUUUACUGCCCCUGCAAGACCUUCCUCAACUGUGUAGUCUGGAGCGAAGGAUGCAACAGAGCCCAGAUUACAAGCAAAAUCUGUUUCAGGUAAACUGGUUGGAGCUUAUUGACAGGGCGGAUGUGCUCAACUGCACCUGGUGCAUAUUGGUGAUUACUAACUCCCUGGAAAAGAACCUCAAUUGGAGGGGAAUCAAUAGAAAGACUUCACUGUCCGCUCUCCAACUCGGAGAGGUCGUGAUUGUUCAUAGAAACCUCUUUACGGCUAAUGCUGCAGAGAUGGAGGUCGAGAGGACCAUGAAGAGGUGGCUCCAGCUGGCAUCAGAUCAAGAGUGUGAGUGCAAGAGAAGUCUUUUGCAAAAGGAAGCUACCAGGAAUCCUGAAGAAGGACGAGUGCAUUGGAGCAGUCGUGCCGCAUGCGGGGGCAAACAUCAGGCUUCGGCAGACAGAGGUUCUGAAGAGGGCCAGCCUGAUCGAGACGGUAUGAGGCAGAUCACCCACCGCGAAGAUCAUCGUCUCUGGACCUCUUCCCUCAUACAGAUGUGGAGCUGAAAAGUUCAGUAGACUUCUAGCAUUAAAUGAUUGGUUAGUUUCUUGGUGUAAUUAACAGGAAUCUGCUGUUUGUUAAUAACUGGAAUCUGUUCUGGGAGCGUCCUAGGUUGUUUCGUCCUGAUGGCCUGCACUCCAGCAGCUUCGGAGCGGAACUGCUGUCUGACAACAUCUCCAAGACACUACAAACCAAGUGACUGCCUACCGUCAAAUUAUUCGUAAACAUGGAAUGAACUUCCACUGUUAUGCUGAUGAUACAGAGCUGUAUGUUUGCAACUGAACAAUAACAACAAUAAACAACAACUGAAGAAUAGCGAAAAACUCCAACUGUUUUCGUGCUUACUUGAAGACGAUGAGGCGGAGCAGCAUCGGAGAGACAGUUCGCUCCAUUCUCCAAAGAAUCGGGGAGAACAGUCUGUGGUGUAUGUUUUCGUUGAAAGCGCCAAAAGGUGGGAAGCUGGCUUUGACUGAUCAGGAUGAAGUGUAUGGCCUUGUACACUAUAUUGCCGAACAAGCACAUGGACGUGAAUAUACUGUUGCCGGUUGCAGAGAGGCCAUCGGCAGCUACCUAAAAAAUGCCCCAGGCAGGAAAAGUGUCAAGAAACACAUUGUGUUUAUGAUGAAGCAGAGCUACAUGGGAUCUCUAGUGCGUCCUGCAAGAAUUGGGCCUUAGUCCAGUUCAGAUUCAAUUUUGUAAUUCCUCUCCCUCGCGUGACAGCCUCCAAACAGUACAAUUCUAAUGAGCUUGAAUAUACGGAGAAUUCCAUUGGGUUUGAUGUCUGACUAAUAAUUUUUUUCUUUGAUUAGCAAUACAUAGGAACUAUAUCUGGCUAUUUUGUGUGUUACAAUAUUGAAUGUCAUUUUUCAGCUUUUAACUUCGUCUGCAUUUACUAAAAUUCAUGCAUGUUUAUUAAAAAUAUUCAUGGAGUUUGUUAAACUAUAUAAUUGUUGUCUGUCAUUCAUAAGAUUCGUCAUGUGAAUUCCAUAGACCAGAAUCUAACAUCCACAUUAUUGAAGCUUGUUUAAUUACGGGUUUGUUAAAGCAUGCGGUAUGUUAUAUGCUUUAAUUGUAUCUUGCCACAUAAUGUUGGAAAAUGAGUACUUGUGUACUUUUCAAGAAAUUAGAUACAAAAAGGAUUACACAUAUCUGAUUAGAAAAAAUAGCAUCAUAAUGUGUGUAACUUUGUGUAUAAAUAUUGUGUAGUGUAUUUACACCACAUUAUGAGGUGUAUAUACAGGCAAUUACAAAAUACUAUGUGCAUGUUGUUGAGUCUUUCUGGAAUUCUAUAUCCCUGUUUUAUAAAGCACUGAAUGGUUUGGGUCCAAUAUAUAUUUCUGAUCUACUGGUACAUUAUGAACCAUCCAGACCUCUGAGGUCAUCUGGAACAGGUCUGCUUUCUGUUCUCAGAGUCAAAACUAAAUGUGGAGAAGCAGCAUUUAGUUUUUAUUCUCCACAUAUCUGGAACAAACUCCCAGAAAACUGCAGAUCUGCCAAAACUGUCAGUUCUUUUAAAUCAAGACUGAAGAAUUUUCUUUUUGCUGCUGCUUUUAAAUCAAUCAUCAAGGUAUUUUAAUUAAUAUCUUAUGCUGCACUGUAACCAUUUAAUCUGUUUUAACCUGUUUUUUAUUUGUUUGUUUUUAUUACUUUUUUUAAAAUUUAUUUUAUAUAAUGUGUAUGAACUCUUUUUAAUGUCUUCUUUUUAAAUGUUGCUUUGUGUUGCUUUUAUGUAAAGCACUUUGAAUUACCCUGUUGCUGAAAAUGUGCUAUACAAAUAAAUUUGCCUUGCCUUUGUGGAUCUUCUCCAGUGAAAUAGAUGAGGCCACCUACGGAACGCAUUAAUUUACAUAGGAGCAGCGAUGAGAAUAGAAAUGUAUUUCUAAUAUUAGUUGAAAUUUCAAAGAUUAAGAUUUCUUACCCAGAAUACCGCUUCUGGGGAAAUUGCCGUUCCCGAGGGUGGACACACGAGGGCAGUCAAGCUCCAUCCAGCACAAGACACAACGCCGCCUGGAACAGAAGGCAGAUUUGGGCUACUGUACACAGACACAGCUCAUCGGCGUUAUUACUGUGCAUUGUCUAGUUUUCACAUAAGGACAAUACACGGCUCUUCUGCACUGUUCAUCAUCUAAAAAACAAACAUUAUGUAAUAUACAUAGCAGUAUAUUUAUCAUAAUAAAGUUCACUCAUUAAUAACGAAUAAUAAACAUUUCUAUAAC